AAACCAUUUCCUAUAAAUUUGUUUUAUUUUUUGUAGGAUCUGGACUUGGAGGGUUGUAAUAGCCUAGUGCAACCCACUGCCAAAUCCGCCCAUGUCAACCACUCUGAAGGACUUUGAAUAUGCUUGUGAACAGAUUUAGAAACAAAUUAAAAAAAAAAAUUAUUAUAGGGAACAGCCCGCUUUUUCAAUAUUUUGUGUGACAUGAUAUUUUGAAAACACGAUUGAGUUUUUGUUAUUAAUGUAGUUUAGCGCGAGUGCAUAGAACACGAAAGAGCUCAUGAACGGCUAUAUUUCAAUUCUGCAAAUAUUUUGAGAGGAGUUUCUUUUCCUACUGUUUCGCAUAAGAACAGGUUUUAUUGUUGCUACUUGCUAAGCAACUUUUUCUAUGUAUAGUUUAUCAUUUUUGUAGCUGGAAAGGAUAAAAAUAGGAAAAUGGUGAUCGUAGGUAUUGAAUGAGGGAGAAAGACCUUGAACUAAUGAAAUUUUACCUAAAAAAAUUGUUUUAGCUCCUGCUUAUCUUAAUUCUUUUUUUCUAAGUCUUUGUUUGUCAACCAUUCUACCACAUUAUUUUUCAAUUCUCAUUUUCAACUAUACAUUCUUCAUUAAAAUAAUAUUCCACAUAAAUUAAAAAAAAAAAUUCUUCUUUUUUAACCAUAUGUUUCAACAUCAAUCAACAUUCUGUAAUACACUUUUUGAAAUUAAAUGGGUACAAACAGGCUCUAAAUGUGGUUCUGUAUAUUUGAAGGAGAUCCCCUGAUCCUUAGAAUUUCGAUAACUUUUUCUCCUUGUAGUAGAACACCAAAUGAAAUAAAACAUUAACAUCAAAAUUUAUGUAUAGCCACUGUAAUCCAUGAAGUUGUCUGGGAGUCAGAUGAUGAAGAAGAUGCUGAGUAUGCAAUGCAGAAUCAGAUUAAAGGAGAGGAAAACAUGAGUAUAAGAUGUUGAAUAGCUUCAUUCUUUCUUUACGUUUUUUGAUUCCAUGGCUAAAUUUUGUCUGUGCACAAGCUACAUUUAUGUAUUUACUCCUAAUAUAGCGCUUUCUUGCGGACAUGGAGAGAGAUUAUGAGGAGGAGCUGAGGCCUAAGGAUAUCUUAGAUGAUGAAGAGAUGCUAGACGAGCCUGAAGAAGAAUAUGCUGAUGCUACACCUAAGGAAGUGGAAGCUGUUCCGCCACUGGUGUUGGAGAUGUCCAUGAGCCGUGGAAGGAUACUUUUGCAAGACUUCGCCGUGUAAUAAUCAGAACCUCCAUAAUUUGGUAAUAUCUUCACUGUUGAAUGCCUGAAUACUUACUUUCUAUUGUCCUUUCUUCAUUUGUACUUGGUUGUCAAUAAGGGAGAGUUGUGCAAUCAUUAAAUAUUUUUUAACAUUAACAUAGACUGUACUUAGUUUUGUUUAGGUAAACGUUUAGAACAUAGAAAUAGACCAUGAACUUCGAUGAUAACAAAAAUGUGAAGUUGUGUGAUUAGCCCAACUGGAAUAUUUAAUUAAAUAAGCCUAAGGCCUGGCUACUUGCACCACUAGCUUUCUUGUAGUAGUAGUACUUUCCAUUUACUCAUUUCUCUCUUCGGCUUAUCAUUUAAUUCAUAGUUAUCAAUUGUAAUAAUGAGUUGCCCUAUUGGUAAAUAGCAUUACAAACGCAUAAAAAUCUAUACUCAAGACUCAACUCAAAUGAAGCUCCAAUCACGUAAAAUAAAGAACAAACAGUAGCUUGCAAUUUUAUAAGAUGUUCUUUCUUCUCUAACUUUUCCGUGUCAUCAACUUAAGAAUAUAUCACUUUUGGGGGGUUUUAAGUAAGUCUAGAGGUUAGCUGUUAGAAAUUUUCGAGUUGACAUUUUACAUUUCAAGUUUAUAGGAUAUUAGUAGUGAAUUGGUUCAAUCCAGCUUUAGCAAGAAUCAAAUGGAUUGAGUCAAAACUUGGUUUCGUAAUUGGUUCUAGGUUCAUGUAGUACGAUCUUUUUUAAAUUUGAAAAAAUGGACCAAAAUAAAGCAAGCAUGAGCAGUUUGAAUUGGACUAAACUUAAAUAUGAUGAGUUCUAGUUACCUCGUGGAUUGACAUCCCAUUUGAUCAGUUUAGUUGGAAAGAAGGUGGAAGGGGAAGGUAACAACGACUAAAAUAUGAUAGCAUGUUUGGUAAGUUGGUUAUGACAAUAUUAAAGAAGAAAAGUUACAGUCUUAUUUCUUAUUAUCAUCCGAUCCUACCUAAUAAUACAUGUCUAAAUAACAUGAAAGCGCCACACAUUUAGUUUCUGUUCUUUUCGAUUUUCAUUCACUCCUUUACCUGAUAAUUCUUCUGUUUUUUGAAAUCCCUCUUUAAUACUUAUAUAUUCAAAUCAAGAAAAUUGAGUUAAUUACUCAAGGAAAAAGUGUCUUCAUAUACUUUUUAUAUUAGAAUUGAUAUAAAAUUGGAAUCAAAGGAUCUUUAGAGAUCUUUUUGUUUGUAAAUUAUCCAUUAAUAAAUAUUACCGGAAGAAAAAACUAGAAAUAAUAUGGUAGUCUAAUAAAUGAGUAACAUAUCUAGUGAGAUUGUAUUCGUUGUAAUUUACCUCAAUCAAAAUUGAUAUAUAAUGUUUGCUGAAUUCAGAACAAUAGUGAUUCACAAGAGACAUCAACCACAUACCAAGUAGAUCCAAUACAGUACACUGGUUAAGAAAUGGUGGCUCUUGCAAUUGACUCGUCAACUCUUUUGAAUGCUUGAAAUAAGGGAAAAUGAGUUAAACAUUUCUUUGUAAAUAUAUCAUCGUUCUAUGCACUUGAUUUAUCUUGAAUAUAGGGAAUCGAGUUUUCUGAAAAUAUGUUCAGUGAAGGGAAGCAUUUCCAAACCCAUUCCAUUUUUAUUGCAGUAUGUCUUCUCUAUCUCUUAGGAUUAUCGGCAUGUCUUCAGCUUUCAUGAGUUUCUCAAGUUUGAACUUUGUACUUGCCAAAUUUAAAUGUGUACUUCACCCUACCUUUCCCUUGCACUCUUGUUUGUCUUCAUUCUUGUCCUCGGUAGUUCUAUUAGCUGCUCACUUUCUUGAUGUGUGUGCUGUUUUGUGUUUUUCUGACUUUUGUAAAUGAACAGCUAUUAAGUGUAUAAAUUAUGUUCCCUUUCUUACAAUGACAGUGAGAGAACAUAUCAACUUCGUUGGAAAUUGGUUUCCAAAUUAACAUGAAA